rnacentral:lncRNA from 1 species
UAUUCCCUGGGCGCUGCCUGAGCCCUUCCAACUACUUUGAGCCUGUCCAGUCAGACUGGAAGUGGAAGGACUCCCUUCCCGAGCAAGAGAUUCCAAAGGGGUCGUCAAAGUGAGCGGAAGGAGCGAAUCAUAGAACAAUCAUGAACUUCAUGAUGUGCAGGAGAGAAGGCGGCAGGCAGCUUCCAAGGCCACAUCCGUCAUACACAGAACUCAAACUCUCCCUGGAGCCACAAGCUUCUGCCCGGUGAAUGACUGGAGGAGCUGGGUCUCCACCAAGCGGAGGAGGUGCAUUCCCAUGGCACGGGCAUUCUGAAGUUGUAAGC